rnacentral:rRNA from 1 species
AUGAGUAAUGACGACUUCUUAAUUUACUCCUGGAACGUACAUGGUCUUAGCGAUAACGAUAAAUGCUCCGACGUUCUCUCUAAACUGGUGACGACUAAGCCGCAUAUAACCCUCUUGCAAGAAUCAAAACUCCACACUCUCCCUGACUCUAAACUAAAAUCCUUUCUGCCACGAACACUUGAUCAAGCUUUCUCGCUACCAGCGGUCGGGACCGCGGGUGGUACUAUCUUUGCCAUCAACUCUGUGUUUUUCCAAGUCGUUUCUUAUUCACAUGUAACCUUCUCUUCUACCCUACUCCUACAAUCAACUGCGUGUGCCCAACACAUUGCCAUCACCAACAUCUACGCUCCAUCAGCACGAUCACUCAAGCAAGCCUUUUUAAACAAGCUCUCAUCCAUCUCACAACCCGAUGACACCCCCUAGAUUAUCGCUAGUGACCUCAACCUCAUCCGCUUCCCCUCUGAAAAAAACAACCCUGUGUUCCACCACGCCGAAGCCAAUGCUUUUAACCAAACCUUAGAUGAUCUAGCUGUCAUCGAACUGCCCCUACUUGAUCGCAGAUUCACCUGGUCGAACAAUCGAGUCACCCCCACCUUAGAACGGCUAGAUCGUGUUUUCUAUAACCUUGCUUGGGCGGACGCCUUCCCUAACACCUCGCUUUCCUCUCGCACACGCUUCACCUCCGAUCACGUCCCACUCCUCAUCCACGUCACCACCACCAUCCCACGCUCUUUUUUUCAAAUUUGA